GGCUCAGAACGAACGUUAGCGGCGCGCCUAACACAUGCAAGUCGAGCGAGAAAGGGCUUCGGCCCCGGUACAGCGGCGCACGGGUGAGUAACACGUGGGUGAUCUACCCCUCAGUGGCGGAUAACCCUCCGAAAGGAGGGCUAAUACGGCAUGAGACCACGAUGCUAAGGCAUCGGGGUCAAAGCAGGCCUCUUGAUCAAAGCUUGCGCUGAAGGAUGAGCCCGCGGCCCAUCAGGUAGUUGGUGAGGUAAUGGCCCACCAAGCCUAAGACGGGUAGCUGGUCUGAGAGGAUGAACAGCCACACUGGAACUGAGACACGGUCCAGACUCCUACGGGAGGCAGCAGUGGGGAAUCUUGCGCAAUGGGCGAAAGCCUGACGCAGCGACGCCGCGUGAGCGAUGAAGGCCCUCGGGUUGUAAAGCUCUGUGGGGAGGGACGAAUAAGGUGAAGCUAACACCUUCACUGAUGACGGUACCUCUUUAGCAAGCACCGGCUAACUCUGUGCCAGCAGCCGCGGUAAGACAGAGGGUGCAAACGUUGUUCGGAAUUACUGGGCGUAAAGCGCGUGUAGGCGGUCUCGCAAGUCGGAUGUGAAAUCCCAGGGCUCAACCCUGGAAGAGCACCCGAAACUGCAAGACUAGAGUCCUGGAGAGGAAGGUGGAAUGCUCGGUGUAGAGGUGAAAUUCGUAGAUAUCGAGCGGAACACCAGUGGCGAAGGCGGCCUUCUGGACAGUGACUGACGCUGAGACGCGAAAGCGUGGGGAGCAAACAGGAUUAGAUACCCUGGUAGUCCACGCCGUAAACGAUGAGUGCUAGGUGUCACGGGCUUUGACCCUCGUGGUGCCGAAGCUAACGCGUUAAGCACUCCGCCUGGGAAGUAC
rnacentral:rRNA from 1 species